rnacentral:lncRNA from 1 species
GGGUUCCUCGUCCUCUUCUUUUCCAGCCCGACCCUCCUCCGUGUCUUCACUGGACGUUGUCGUUGGUCAAAGUGGCUUUAAUUUGGGAUAGCUGUGUUGGGGGUCUUUGGUCACUUCUUACCUUAAGGUGCUAGGCUGGAAUCAUUGAUUUGUGCUGCUUCUGCCAGACAUUUCUUGGCGAUAGAAACCAGGAGUGGAGAAAAGUGAAUGUUUUUCCUGAAAGCUGAGCAAGAAAAUAUUUUUAUGCUGAAUGGUGGUCUCUCAAGAGAAAAAUGGAGAAGCUGAAAGCCAUUCCCAUCUAAGAACUCAGAGGUGUCAGUUGUUUGCCUGCCGACGCUCUCAUGUGAACUAAGAGAAUGGAACCGGACAUUCGUGAAGUGCUCAGUAAGCAAACAAAACGAAGACUUCUUGUGAGGGACAAAAUCAUUGGUUUG